rnacentral:rRNA from 1 species
GACGAACGCUGGCGGCGUGCCUAACACAUGCAAGUCGAACGGAAAGGCCCUGCUUUUGUGGGGUGCUCGAGUGGCGAACGGGUGAGUAACACGUGAGUAACCUGCCCUUGACUUUGGGAUAACUUCAGGAAACUGGGGCUAAUACCGGAUAGGAGCUCCUGCUGCAUGGUGGGGGUUGGAAAGUUUCGGCGGUUGGGGAUGGACUCGCGGCUUAUCAGCUUGUUGGUGGGGUAGUGGCUUACCAAGGCUUUGACGGGUAGCCGGCCUGAGAGGGUGACCGGCCACAUUGGGACUGAGAUACGGCCCAGACUCCUACGGGAGGCAGCAGUGGGGAAUAUUGCACAAUGGGCGGAAGCCUGAUGCAGCAACGCCGCGUGCGGGAUGACGGCCUUCGGGUUGUAAACCGCUUUCGCCUGUGACGAAGCGUGAGUGACGGUAAUGGGUAAAGAAGCACCGGCUAACUACGUGCCAGCAGCCGCGGUGAUACGUAGGGUGCGAGCGUUGUCCGGAUUUAUUGGGCGUAAAGGGCUCGUAGGUGGUUGAUCGCGUCGGAAGUGUAAUCUUGGGGCUUAACCCUGAGCGUGCUUUCGAUACGGGUUGACUUGAGGAAGGUAGGGGAGAAUGGAAUUCCUGGUGGAGCGGUGGAAUGCGCAGAUAUCAGGAGGAACACCAGUGGCGAAGGCGGUUCUCUGGGCCUUUCCUGACGCUGAGGAGCGAAAGCGUGGGGAGCGAACAGGCUUAGAUACCCUGGUAGUCCACGCUGUAAACGGUGGGUACUAGGUGUGGGGUCCAUUCCACGGGUUCCGUGCCGUAGCUAACGCUUUAAGUACCCCGCCUGGGGAGUACGGCCGCAAGGCUAAAACUCAAAGGAAUUGACGGGGCCCCGCACAAGCGGCGGAGCAUGCGGAUUAAUUCGAUGCAACGCGUAGAACCUUACCUGGGUUUGACAUGGAUCGGGAGUGCUCAGAGAUGGGUGUGCCUCUUUUGGGGUCGGUUCACAGGUGGUGCAUGGCUGUCGUCAGCUCGUGUCGUGAGAUGUUGGGUUAAGUCCCGCAACGAGCGCAACCCUUGUUCACUGUUGCCAGCACGUUAUGGUGGGGACUCAGUGGAGACCGCCGGGGUCAACUCGGAGGAAGGUGGGGAUGACGUCAAGUCAUCAUGCCCCUUAUGUCCAGGGCCUCACGCAUGCUACAAUGGCUGGUACAGAGAGUGGCGAGCCUGUGAGGGUGAGCGAAUCUCGGAAAGCCGGUCUCAGUUCGGAUUGGGGUCUGCAACUCGACCUCAUGAAGUCGGAGUCGCUAGUAAUCGCAGAUCAGCAACGCUGCGGUGAAUACGUUCCCGGGGCU